AGGGAAUAUUGGGCAAUGGACGCAAGUCUGACCCAGCCAUGCCGCGUGCAGGAUGAAUGCCUUAUGGGUUGUAAACUGCUUUUGUACGGGAAGAAUCCCUCGAACGUGUUCGGGGUUGACGGUACCGUGCGAAUAAGGAUCGGCUAACUCCGUGCCAGCAGCCGCGGUAAUACGGAGGAUCCAAGCGUUAUCCGGAUUUAUUGGGUUUAAAGGGUGCGUAGGCGGAUUGAUAAGUCAGUGGUGAAAUCCUACAGCUUAACUGUAGAAUUGCCAUUGAUACUAUCUAUCUUGAGUACAGUUGGGGUGGGUGGAAUUUGUCAUGUAGCGGUGAAAUGCAUAGAUAUGACAAAGAACACCGAUCGCGAAGGCAGCUCACCAAACUGUAACUGACGCUGAGGCACGAAAGCGUGGGGAUCAAAC
rnacentral:rRNA from 1 species